UACGGGGGGGCAAGCGUUGUUCGGAAUUACUGGGCGUAAAGGGCUCGUAGGCGGCCAACUAAGUCGGAUGUGAAAUCCCCAGGCUUAACCUGGGAACUGCAUCCGAUACUGGAUGGCUUGAAUCCGGGAGAGGGAUGGCGGAAUUCCAGGUGUAGCGGUGAAAUGCGUAGAUAUCUGGAGGAACACCGGUGGCGAAGGCGGCAUCCUGGACCGGCAUUGACGCUGAGGAGCGAAAGCCAGGGGAGCAAACAGG
rnacentral:rRNA from 1 species